rnacentral:rRNA from 1 species
UACCCCAUAUGCUUUCGAGUGAAACGGUUUUUCCGCCUAAAGAGAAGCUUGCGGCUGAUUAGCUUGUUGGUAAGGUAAUGGCUUACCAAGGCGACGAUCAGUAUCUGGUUUGAGAGGACGAUCAGACACACUGGAACUGAGACACGGUCCAGACUCCUACGGGAGGCAGCAGUGGGGAAUUUUCCGCAAUGGCGAAAGCCUGACGGAGCAAUACCGCGUGAGGGAUGAAUGCCUAUGGGUGUAAACCUCUUUUUUCAGGGAGGAACAAAAAUGAUGUGUACCUGAAGAAAAGCAUCGGCUAACUCCGUGCCAGCAGCCGCGGUAAGACGGAGGAUGCMAGUGUUAUAAUUACUGGGCGUAAAGCGUYCUGUARGUGGUUUAAUAAAGU